AAGUAGGAUGAGGUAUCCUAGGUACAGAGUAUAAUGCUUUUCUAUUGCUCACCAAGUGGAAACAAUUAUAUUUCACUCGGAUAACUUCCCUCCCACUAAAAUAUGAUGUCUUCAAAUGCUUGAAUACCAGAUUCGGGGAGAAUUGUUAUUUUGCAGUUUCAGAGGUGCUUAUGGAUGAGGUUACUACUCUCCGGAAUUUCUCUCUGUCCAAGGACACCAUCAAGUGAGCCGUCAAGGCUAUUACUUCUCAGAAAACUAUGGAGGUGGUAACUGAGAUGCUCAGCCCAAAGCCUUCGUCUAUCAGAGAUUUGGAACCUCCAGUUCCUACUGUCCAACCUUUCUAGGGUGUUGGUGUUGGAUCUAUUCAACCCAUUUCCUUCUGUCCUUUUGAGACAAUUGGAGCUAGUGCUAACUGCAUUGCUGUUACUUGCCACACUAGGACUCCCACUGACCACUCGGAAGCUUUGAUUGUUGUUACCUCCGAGCCUUCCUCCCCUGUUAUUGAGGUGUUUGAUGGACUAAGGAGGAAGAACUUGAGGUUUCCUUCCAAGCCAAUCACUAAUCCUUCUGAGGUUCCUAUAAAAAGGAGAAGGUUGGUGAAGGAGGCUGACUUGAGUGCAUCAAAGAAAGGUAAUGCCUCUUCCUCUUGCAAGGAAGUGUCUACUCCAACCCAUGUGAGUCGAAGCAAUGGUGACCUAUCUUUGGGUGUUGGCAAUGAGAUCCAAUAUGCCUUAGUUCCUUAUGAAUCUGGGUUUCACUUUCAACUGAACCUGAAGUCUACCCCUACCCUUUAUCACCGAGUUAUUGAAUAAUCAUGUUUUUGGGACUUCUCCAGACCUUAAUGAUCCCUGGUAGUGGGUACACUUUGCAAUAUUGUAAAAUCAAGUAAGCAAUUUGUGACUUAUAGUCCUAAAGUAGUGGAGGACAUAUUUGCUUACAUUUACUUAGGCCUCCUUUGUGGUUGCAUUUCUUAAAUGACUUUUGAACUCUACUUUUCCAUUUAUACCUCCUUAGUGCUUUGAUAGAAUUGAGGAAAAAGUGAUGAGUGCUCGCAAAUCAGCCUGUCAAGAUGUGGAAAAGGCUGAGGAUGAGGAGGUUGCUCGUGUGGCUGCCUCUGUGGAAGAUCAGCACAAGGUUGAUGUUAAUCAUUUAAAAGAGCUCCUUCAUGAGAUUCAACUAUGCAGCAACAGAGGAUCCUAGUUGGAGGCUUAAUUGGCUCAAGAGCAAGCAAAAGUAGAAGCCUGGACUGCCCAGGAGAAGGCUUAUGUGGAUCACAGGAUUAAGGGCUUCAUUGCUUAAGCUAUGGAAUUGGAAAAAGAAUUGGAGAAUAUAAAUGAGGAGCUAACUAAUGCUUGCGAUGAGUUGGCUAAGGCUCCUGAGGACAGACAUGCUUCUGAGUUGUUAAAGAAUCAGCUUAGGCAUGAAGUUUACUCUCUUUCUGAUAAGUGUAAGAAUAUGAGAUUACCAUUUUAGGUCUUCGAGAAGGUGCUGAAAUUGUUGCUUGGAGCCAAUAUAAAAAAAUUUUGAAGUCGAAUGAGUUUAAAGAGAAGGUUUUUAAUGCCUCCACGAGAUUCUAUGCCACUAGCUUCAAGCUACAUUUUAAAGGCUGCUUAUGAUGUACCUGAGACACCUUUGAAUGCAUUACGGGUAGUUGAAUAGAUUCUGAUGGUGAAGAAGUGUAGUAUGGCCUUGACGACUUAGACCUUCCUAAAGUGCAUCCUCUUACUUCUCAGAGUGUGUUAUCACAAGAUACUAUCGAGUUUGAUUAAGAGGCCAGUCAGAUGACUUUCGAUCACCUUAUGCUUGAGGCUCUAAAUGCCCAGAAUAUUCCACCUCCAAAUGGCGCUAUUUCAUUAGAUCCAACUGUCAAAAAUGCUUAUACUUUCUCUACUGUUACUAGAGUUGAGCUUGACCUGACUGGUGAUCUUGCCUCUUCUAGUGAAGCCCAAAAUUGAUCUUAUAAGACAUGUAAAUGUUUGAAAAUUUCUGGUAGAUGUUUCAUACUUGCUUUGUAAUUUUAUUUUAUUAUUAAUGAAAUUAUC